rnacentral:lncRNA from 1 species
CCCCUGGAGUCUCUGUGAAUCUGCUGUGAUUCUGGGGGCUGCCCAAUUUGUGAAUCGUUUACUGCUCAAUUCAACUCCUUUAAAUUUAAUUCAGCUGAAGUUUUUCUUUUAUCAGAUGGUGUCAGAAGCGGGAUCUGAAGUGCAGCUUCUAGCAUCCCCCAGCAGUGCUGAAUGAACACUCAAGGUACCUGCAGGACCCACUUGUGUCCAUUGAUCUCUCAGAGCCACUGGGGAUCAUGGAGUCUUCUUCUGUCAUCCGGCUGGAGUGCAGUGGCGUAAUUUCAGUUCACUGGAAUCUCCACCUCUUGGUUCAAGCAAUUCUCAUGCCUCAGCCUCCGGAGAAACUGGGAUUACAGGUGCAAACAGUGUCACCGUGAACUACUGGACAGGAUGUACCCUGCACACUGGCUCCUAGCCAAGAAGAAAAUGGGGCCAAACGGAUUGCCAAGCCAUGCACUGGGAGCAGAUGCUUCACGUGGAUCAAGAGGCUUCUGCCCAGAGGGCCUUUCUAUAAUUUAUGCAAAGAACACAAAUGGGCUGUUAACCCUAGCCAAAUCUACAACAUUGAUGCAAUUUGGAGAUAUUCUCCAUUAAGUGCUAUUCCCACAUGACUCAGGAAGAGAGGUGGCGAGUGGCAGAUGAAGGCGAUGCUCCUCCAUUAAAAUGACAGGUACUGGCAGGGCGCAGUGGCUCACACCUGUAAUCCCAGCACUUUGGGAGGCCGA